rnacentral:rRNA from 1 species
CCGGGGUUUCUUUACCAGGUACUGUCAUUAUCAUCCCUGGCGAAAGAGCUUUACGACCCUAAGGCCUUCUUCACUCACGCGGCAUGGCUAGAUCAGGCUUGCGCCCAUUGUCUAAGAUUCCCCA